GUAGUCGUGGCCGAGUGGUUAAGGCGAUGGACUUGAAAUCCAUUGGGGUCCCCCCCCCGCAGGUUCGAAUCCUGCCGACUACG